rnacentral:misc_RNA from 1 species
AAGUCGUAACAAGGUUUCCGUAGGUGAACCUGCGGAAGGAUCAUUAUAGAAUUGUUCUUAUUAUACGGGACUAUUCGACCGUAUCCAUCCACACCGGGGGUAAAAUUUUGGGUGUAAAUAUUUUCAAAGAUAUUUCGGCCGAAUUUUAUUCUCGUAGGGAAUUCAGGCCAAAUUCUUUCGAAAGGGAGAGUUUGACUUGGAAUCCUGUCUGACCUUUGCCUAAAAUUUAUUUUUUGACUGAAACUUUUAUUUUAUUAAAAAUAAAAACAACUUUCAACAACGGAUCUCUUGGCUCUC